GUUAUAUGGUCAAGUGAAGAAGCGCAUACGGUGGAUGCCUUGGCAGUCAGAGGCGAUGAAAGACGUGGUAGCCUGCGAAAAGCUUCGGGGAGUCGGCAAACAGACUUUGAUCCGGAGAUGUCUGAAUGGGGGAACCCAGCCAUCAUAAGAUGGUUACCUUACACUGAAUACAUAGGUGUAUGGAGCGAACCAGGGGAACUGAAACAUCUAAGUACCCUGAGGAAAAGAAAUCAACCGAGAUUCCCUUAGUAGUGGCGAGCGAACGGGGACUAGCCCUUAAGUGGCUUUGAGAUUAGCGGAACGCUCUGGAAAGUGCGGCCAUAGUGGGUGAUAGCCCUGUACGCGAAAAUCUCUUAGUCAUGAAAUCGAGUAGGACGGAGCACGAGAAACUUUGUCUGAAUAUGGGGGGACCAUCCUCCAAGGCUAAAUACUACUGACUGACCGAUAGUGAACUAGUACCGUGAGGGAAAGGCGAAAAGAACCCCGGAGAGGGGAGUGAAAUAGAUCCUGAAACCGUAUGCGUACAAGCAGUGGGAGCCCACUUUGUUGGGUGACUGCGUACCUUUUGUAUAAUGGGUCAGCGACUUAUUUUCAGUGGCGAGCUUAACCGAAUAGGGGAGGCGUAGCGAAAGCGAGUCUUAAUAGGGCGUCUAGUCGCUGGGAAUAGACCCGAAACCGGGCGAUCUAUCCAUGGGCAGGUUGAAGGUUGGGUAACACUAACUGGAGGACCGAACCGACUACCGUUGAAAAGUUAGCGGAUGACCUGUGGAUCGGAGUGAAAGGCUAAUCAAGCUCGGAGAUAGCUGGUUCUCCUCGAAAGCUAUUUAGGUAGCGCCUCAUGUAUCACUGUAGGGGGUAGAGCACUGUUUCGGCUAGGGGGUCAUCCCGACUUACCAAACCGAUGCAAACUCCGAAUACCUACAAGUGCCGAGCAUGGGAGACACACGGCGGGUGCUAACGUCCGUCGUGAAAAGGGAAACAACCCAGACCGUCAGCUAAGGUCCCAAAGUUAUGGUUAAGUGGGAAACGAUGUGGGAAGGCUUAGACAGCUAGGAGGUUGGCUUAGAAGCAGCCACCCUUUAAAGAAAGCGUAAUAGCUCACUAGUCGAGUCGGCCUGCGCGGAAGAUGUAACGGGGCUCAAACCAUACACCGAAGCUACGGGUAUCACGUAAGUGAUGCGGUAGAGGAGCGUUCUGUAAGCCUGUGAAGGUGAGUUGAGAAGCUUGCUGGAGGUAUCAGAAGUGCGAAUGCUGACAUGAGUAACGACAAUGGGUGUGAAAAACACCCACGCCGAAAGACCAAGGUUUCCUGCGCAACGUUAAUCGACGCAGGGUUAGUCGGUCCCUAAGGCGAGGCUGAAAAGCGUAGUCGAUGGAAAACAGGUUAAUAUUCCUGUACUUCUGGUUAUUGCGAUGGAGGGACGGAGAAGGCUAGGCCAGCUUGGCGUUGGUUGUCCAAGUUUAAGGUGGUAGGCUGGAAUCUUAGGUAAAUCCGGGAUUCUAAGGCCGAGAGCUGAUGACGAGUCGUCUUUUAGACGACGAAGUGGUUGAUGCCAUGCUUCCAAGAAAAGCUUCUAAGCUUCAGGUAACCAGGAACCGUACCCCAAACCGACACAGGUGGUUGGGUAGAGAAUACCAAGGCGCUUGAGAGAACUCGGGUGAAGGAACUAGGCAAAAUGGCACCGUAACUUCGGGAGAAGGUGCGCCGGUGAGGGUGAAGGACUUGCUCCGUAAGCUCAUGCCGGUCGAAGAUACCAGGCCGCUGCGACUGUUUAUUAAAAACACAGCACUCUGCAAACACGAAAGUGGACGUAUAGGGUGUGACGCCUGCCCGGUGCCGGAAGGUUAAUUGAUGGGGUUAGCUAACGCGAAGCUCUUGAUCGAAGCCCCGGUAAACGGCGGCCGUAACUAUAACGGUCCUAAGGUAGCGAAAUUCCUUGUCGGGUAAGUUCCGACCUGCACGAAUGGCGUAACGAUGGCGGCGCUGUCUCCACCCGAGACUCAGUGAAAUUGAAAUCGCUGUGAAGAUGCAGUGUAUCCGCGGCUAGACGGAAAGACCCCGUGAACCUUUACUAUAGCUUUGCACUGGACUUUGAAUUUGCUUGUGUAGGAUAGGUGGGAGGCUUUGAAGCGUGGACGCCAGUUCGCGUGGAGCCAACCUUGAAAUACCACCCUGGCAACUUUGAGGUUCUAACUCAGGUCCGUUAUCCGGAUCGAGGACAGUGUAUGGUGGGUAGUUUGACUGGGGCGGUCUCCUCCUAAAGAGUAACGGAGGAGUACGAAGGUGCGCUCAGACCGGUCGGAAAUCGGUCGUAGAGUAUAAAGGCAAAAGCGCGCUUGACUGCGAGACAGACACGUCGAGCAGGUACGAAAGUAGGUCUUAGUGAUCCGGUGGUUCUGUAUGGAAGGGCCAUCGCUCAACGGAUAAAAGGUACUCCGGGGAUAACAGGCUGAUACCGCCCAAGAGUUCAUAUCGACGGCGGUGUUUGGCACCUCGAUGUCGGCUCAUCACAUCCUGGGGCUGAAGCCGGUCCCAAGGGUAUGGCUGUUCGCCAUUUAAAGUGGUACGCGAGCUGGGUUUAGAACGUCGUGAGACAGUUCGGUCCCUAUCUGCCGUGGACGUUUGAGAUUUGAGAGGGGCUGCUCCUAGUACGAGAGGACCGGAGUGGACGAACCUCUGGUGUUCCGGUUGUCACGCCAGUGGCAUUGCCGGGUAGCUAUGUUCGGAAUAGAUAACCGCUGAAAGCAUCUAAGCGGGAAACUAGCCUCAAGAUGAGAUCUCACUGGAACCUUGAGUUCCCUGAAGGGCCGUCGAAGACUACGACGUUGAUAGGUUGGGUGUGUAAGCGCUGUGAGGCGUUGAGCUAACCAAUACUAAUUGCCCGUGAGGCUUGACCAUAUAACACCCAAGCAAUU
rnacentral:rRNA from 1 species